CUGUCUUUCUCACUCGUUUUGUUUUUAAGACAAGACCGAACACGCUAGAAAAUUACAGAUGGGAUGGUUGAACUCUCUGGUGAAUAAUGCAAAUAUGCAGAUAAAAGAGUGAGGAGAUGGAACAACAGAGCAAGAUUAAAUGAGCUCAUUGCAGAGGUGCUAGGUCACACAAGGCAGGCGCUCGAUCUCACGACUUCUUUCACGACACCAGCCUUAAUGCGAUAUGACGGAGACUUGCCUGGCGGUAAAUGGAAAGUGAUGGCAGAGGGAGACCUGAUAAAGCACGCCAGAGCGUCAGAGUGGGGGAGAGAGUGGCAGAAGUGGUGUCUGAGUGUGGCCACAACUUAUUAAGAGUCUGUAUUUGUUUAAGUUCUUUUGGGAUACUGGAAGCCCAUGAUUUGAGUCAGCUACUGAGAGCCUGUUUUAUUUAUCCUGGUGUGUGAGAAAGAGAAAAUAAAUACUCACCUCAACUGUUCACUGUCUCCUGACUCCUCCAUUGCCCACAAACUCACAGUCAUGUCCAACUCGAAAUGAACAAGGGCUGUUACUGUGUUAUGUGUACUUGCUGCACUAGUUGUUUUGGUUACAAUUAACAUGAAACGUGAAAGUUCAUUAUUGAGUGAGUACAUUAAAAACAUGUUCAAAACUCUGUCCUUGUCUUACCCUGAUUCACUAUUUUAAGCCUACAAUGAUGAUUUUAGUGCUGUCAGGUUGGAUUUGGUGCAAAAUCACAGGCUUGCGUCAUUUUUCUUUGAGUGUUAAGGUUAUGUCCAUAACUUCAGAAAAGGAGGACCGGCUAUGUGAUGUAUGUUUUGGCUGGCGAAGCUAUGGCGGUUCAGUCAGUCACUGUUCAGGACAGCAGCAGCAAGACAUCAAUCUCUGGAUGGGUGUUUAACUAUUAACUGUUUGGCAAAGUUGUUUACUUGCUAUAAUGCUAGGAUAUGUUUUCUGGUAGGGUUAUUGAAGCUUACAUUGGUUAUAAUGCUUUAGUGAAUCGAACAUUACUUAUGUGUUUAAUGAUCGCCAUGUGUUUAAUAGGCUAUGUUUUCCUGUGAAGUUACUGUAACAUGUUUACUAACACCGUGACCUAACCAGACGCGACGCGACGCCCCGACACGAGAUAAAAGGUAUCUUUUCCAUGUUAAUCAGAGUUUUCGUCCUAACUAGCCACGACAUGACGGGCGACAGUGACAGGACAUUCUAUUUUUGAAAUAGUUUCUAUUUCUGCGACGUCGCACCAGCCAGCACAGUCACCAAAUGGGUCAGUAUAUGCAGUAUAUUACAGCUGGCAUCUCACUAGUUGGUUCACAAAAACUUGAUUUUGGCCGAGGGUGUCACACAUCUACCGAAUGUUGUGCUUGUGUCGCGCUUGGUUAGGAAAUGGUGUAAUACUCAUGACUUUUGAGUAUUUUAUAACAUUGCUGCUGUUUCGAUUCCAUUAGUGUGUGCAUUGCUGUUUUCUUAUUUUUAUCUUAUUAUUAAGUUGUUGUCACUUUCCAUUGCCCUUUUAGCCUUUUAAAUUUCAUCUAAAUGCUAUUAUAGGUAAGUGUGACAAGGAGGAGGGCGUUGCUGGGCCGUGAGGACACACGCCCGGCGCUGAAUUGUCCUAAUCAGUAGGGAGGGGGAUAAAGACGAGCCAGGGACGCCUGUUCGAGAGAGAGACACACGCAACCGCUGUGUGUGUGUGUCUAUGUUUCUUUAAGUUGAUUUAUACCAUUAAAGUUAUGUUGACUGUUUUGCCAGUUCCAGCCUCCUCCUUGCCCAUCUUGUGAACCCCGUUACAUUGGUGCCGAAACCCGGGAAGGAGGAGGGAUGCGCUGUUGUGGAGUCCUCGCCGGGAGUCGGAGGAACCACUGCUGUCCGCCAGGAAGGGGAGGAGCCGUUACCGUCCACGAGGCUCGGAGGACUUGCUGCCAUCCACCAGGGGAGGAGCAGCUGUCGUCUGCCAGAGGGUGGAGGAGUGGCUGAGGACCAGGCGACGGCAUGUCCGGGGACCGGGGACUCUCUCUCCAGGAAGGGAGGGGAGUAUGUCAUACCAGAGGUUUCCCCGGCCUGAAUCAGGCAGUGGAGGAGUGUGACGAGGUGGAGGGUGUGGCCAGGCCAUGAGGACGCACGCCCUGUGCUGAAUUGUCCUAAUCAGCCAGGAGGGGGAUAAAGAUGAGCCGGGGGGGCCAGUUCGAGAGAGAGAGAGACACACUACUGUGUUACACUACUUAUACCAUUAAAAGUUAUGUUGACUGUUCUGCCGGUUCCCGCCUUCUCACCCAUCUUGUGAACCCCGUUACAGUAAGGUAUAAGGCAGUUCCCCAUAAAUUUAUACUCAUCUCAAGUUGUUUAUAAUUUACAGAUUUCAUAGCACAGAAAUGUCCAAUUUUAUUUGUUUAGCAUGUGACCAUCUCUCUAUUAUAACUUUACUUCAAAUAAAUGAUUAAAGAAACUGUUUAUUAUUGUAAUUGUUACAUUGCAUGUUUCUGCAUAUUAUUUUAAUGUUUAAUAAACUAUAUUUC